rnacentral:rRNA from 1 species
AGUGAACGCUGGCGGUAGGCCUAACACGUGCAAGUCGAACGGCAGCACAGUAAGAGCUUGCUCUUACGGGUGGCGAGUGGCGGACGGGUGAGGAAUACAUCGGAAUCUACUUUUUCGUGGGGGAUAACGUAGGGAAACUUACGCUAAUACAGCAUACGACCUACGGGUGAAAGCAGGGGAUCUUCGGACCUUGCGCGAUUGAAUGAGCCGAUGUCGGAUUAGCUAGUUGGCGGGGUAAAGGCCCACCAAGGCGACGAUCCGUAGCUGGUCUGAGAGGAUGAUCAGCCACACUGGAACUGAGACACGGUCCAGACUCCUACGGGAGGCAGCAGUGGGGAAUAUUGGACAAUGGGCGCAAGCCUGAUCCAGCCAUACCGCGUGGGUGAAGAAGGCCUUCGGGUUGUAAAGCCCUUUUGUUGGGAAAGAAAAGCAGCAGGUUAAUACCCCGCUGUUCUGACGGUACCCAAAGAAUAAGCACCGGCUAACUUCGUG